AACAGUUCCUGCUUUUUAAGAGUCUGCGCUUGUUUUCUGAAGUUUUUCAUGAUAUAAACAUCUCACUUUCUCACCGCCACAGCUUUCUCUUAUUCCACAUUGUGUUGAUCUGUAGAUUUGUUCGAUAAAUAACGAGUUUUGUGCAGAUUUGACACCUGAGUAACAGGAUGAAGCUGAAGAGUAAUAAGAAUCCAGAAUACUAGAGGUGUCACCAGAUACGAAUACAAAUAUGAACAACAGGACACUCCUGAAUGCCAGAACUGAAGUGACUUUCAUCCAUCACAUUUUGUUUUCUGUCUUUCUUUCUACCCUUCAACUUUUCG
ensembl:lncRNA